rnacentral:tRNA from 1 species
AGGUCAAUUAGGUUCAAAUUUGACCGUUCUUUGCAGAUUUUCCCUUCAAUGCGAGCAUCGCACUGCAGAGGUCGUGGGUUCGAAUCCCAUCAUCUCCACCA